rnacentral:rRNA from 1 species
CCCUUAGAUGUUCUGGGCCGCACGCGUGCUACACUGAGUGGAUCAGCGGGUCAGGUUGCGCGAAAGCGUUUCCUAAUCUUUAAAUCCGCUCGUGAUGGGGAUUGACGGUUGCAAUUUUCUGUCAUGAACGAGGAAUACCUUGUAAGCGCGGGUCAUCAUCCCGCGCUGAAUACGUCCCUGCCCUUUGUACACACCGCCCGUCGCUCCUACCGAUUGAGUGGUCCGGUGAGGCUUUGGGAUCUGAGCGGAAAGAGCGUUUCGCUGUUUAUGCUCGGAAAACUCAGUCGAACCUUAUCAUUUAGAGGAAGGAGAAGUCGUAACA